UACGUAGGGGGCAAGCGUUGUCCGGAUUUAUUGGGCGUAAAGAGCGUGUAGGCGGCUAGAUAGGUCCGUUGUGAAAACUCGAGCUCAACCUCGAGACGCCGGUGGAAACCAUCUAGCUAGAGUCCGGAAGAGGAGAGUGGAAUUCCUGGUGUAGCGGUGAAAUGCGCAGAUAUCAGGAAGAACACCCGUGGCGAAGGCGGCUCUCUGGUACGUGACUGACGCUGAGACGCGAAAAGCGUGGGGGAGCGAACAGG
rnacentral:rRNA from 1 species